rnacentral:rRNA from 1 species
AACGAACGCUGGCGGCAUGCCUAACACAUGCAAGUCGAACGAGACCUUCGGGUCUAGUGGCGCACGGGUGCGUAACGCGUGGGAAUCUGCCCUUCGGUUGGGAAUAACUGAGAGAAAUUUCAGCUAAUACCUUAUAAUGUCUUCGGACCAAAGAUUUAUCGCCGAGGGAUGAGCCCGCGUAGGAUUAGGUAGUUGGUGGGGCAAUGGCCUACCAAGCCGACGAUCCUUAGCUGGUCUGAGAGGAUGAUCAGCCACACUGGGACUGAGACACGGCCCAGACUCCUACGGGAGGCAGCAGUGGGGAAUAUUGGACAAUGGGCGAAAGCCUGAUCCAGCAAUGCCGCGUGAGUGAUGAAGGCCUUAGGGUUGUAAAGCUCUUUUACCCGGGAUGAUAAUGACAGUACCGGGAGAAUAAGCUCCGGCUAACUCCGUG